GAUGAACGCUGGCGGUAUGCUUAACACAUGCAAGUCGAACGGUCUUUUAGGAGAUAGUGGCGGACGGGUGAGUAACACGUGAGAACCUACCUUCAGAAUGGGGAUAACAGUUGGAAACGACUGCUAAUACCCGAUGUGCCGAAAGGUGAAAGAUUUAUCGUCUGAAGAUGGGCUCGCGGCUGAUUAGCUAGUUGGAAGUGUAAUGGACUCCCAAGGCGACGAUCAGUAACUGGUCUGAGAGGAUGAGCAGUCACACUGGAACUGAGAAACGGUCCAGACUCCUACGGGAGGCAGCAGUGGGGAAUUUUCCGCAAUGGGCGAAAGCCUGACGGAGCAAUACCGCGUGAGGGAGGAAGGUUCUUGGAUUGUAAACCUCUUUUCUAGGGGAAUAAAAAAAUGAAGGUACCCUAGGAAUAAGCAUCGGCUAACUCCGUGCCAGCAGCCGCGGUAAUACGGAGGAUGCAAGCGUUAUCCGGAAUUAUUGGGCGUAAAGAGUCCGUAGGUGGAAGUUCAAGUCUGCGGUUAAAGAAUGGAGCUUAACUCCAUAAAGGCCGUGGAAACUGAGCAACUAGAGUGCGGUAGGGGUAACGGGAAUUCCCAGUGUAGCGGUGAAAUGCGUAGAUAUUGGGAAGAACAUCGGUGGCGAAAGCGCGUUACUGGGCCGAAACUGACACUGAGGGACGAAAGCUAGGGUAGCGAAAGGGAUUAGAUACCCCUGUAGUCCUAGCCGUAAACGAUGGAUACUAGGCGUAGC
rnacentral:rRNA from 1 species